CACAGGUUUCAUGGUCGGCUUUGCCUAUUGCUAAAAAACAUCAAUUUGCAAAGUACCCAGCUAGCACAAUAGCAGCAUCGAGUAUAGCCGCUUCAAUGAGUGGGCUAAAAUGGCAUCUACGCACAGGCCAUAAUCUUCCCUUUUUAUUAGGUCUACUUACGGACUUAACCAGCAUCAAACAAGUUCAACUGCAAGAGAGUAUGUUGCAUAUGGAGACCAUUUUUGAAGAGCACAGUCGCAACCUGCAGCCGUUUUUUGUUGACAUUGAACCUCCUAAUUCUGCAAAAAUGUACUGCCAGACACGUUAUCAGACUCAUCCAAACCAGCAAUAUCAUCAGCAGCGCCCGCAACGCAUGAAGAAAAUGCCAAUACCCUUCUUAACUACUGCUGACGCCAACGUUGAUCAAAAUUACUUUAAGGCUAACCCUACCCUAUCGGACGCAAACAUUUAAGAUUCUAGGGCAGGCUAAAAAUUAGUUACAAGACAUACAAUUUUGAGAAAAGUAUUUUUUGAGCCAAUAUACUAAAUAUUAGUAUUUAAAUAUAUAUUAGUUUCCUCCAAGUCCUUGUAAAUUCAAUAAUACAUAAAAA